GGGCACAGCGGCGGCCGCGGAGCCAUCGGCGCGGCGCGGCUUCUUCGUCUUCGCCCGUGGACACCAAAGAGGUCUCGGGGCUGCCGAGGGGCCGGAAGCGUUAGUGGAUGGAGUGCUGUGUGUCGGGCUCUAGCACGUUGAGAGCUCUGGAAGGAGCCAAAGCAAAGUCAAAGCCCGGGGAGCUCAAGGGAGGACAAACCUUCGCAGUGCGGAACGCGGUGUAUUCUAGAAGAUGGGAAAGAUGAACCUGAACCUCACUGACCAGGUAAGGUUUGUGACAGGCUCACCUACGACCAGCAACAGUGCGUGCACUUAGACAGUGAGGUGGGAUACUGCGUAGGGGUGUUCCGUUUUGGGGGCGAGUUGCCAGGAACUGUAAGAGCUAGCCGGAAUUCCAGGAACAGACUCGGGCUGCAGUGCACCGGUGUCAGUACAGCCACAGGAGGCUCGCCCUGUUCUUCCUGAAUCAGGUGAGCAUGGGGUAGAGCGUGUCCCCUCAGCUCUUCCCUUGGGAACGACCCUGGAGCCCCUCAAGACCUUCCUGGAAAUGUCCUACAGCACCUCAACCCUCCUCAUGCCUAUCCCAUGGCUUCCUAUCCCGCCCUGUGCCCACCUCGAAUGCCUCACCCCUCUCUCUCCCCAUCCCUUUGGUCUCCUGCCCCAUCCACAGUCUCUCCCCUCUUUUCCCAUGCCUCCUGGGGCUCUCCCCAUCCAUGCCAGUCAAUUCCAAUCUGUUCCCUCUUUCUCAGUGUCCCCACUCUUGUCCAUCUCGGCCUUGCCAUUGAGCUCCCAGCCCCAAGUUCAGUCAGAUCGCUCACAACUGAUCAUUAGUUGCCAGGCAGACACUCAGCACCCGGGACCCUGGGGUCUGCAGCCUCCCAGCCCAGUUCCAGUCCCUCCCAGCCUUUUCCAGCCCAUUCCCAAUGUCUCCCCACUCCACUCCCUUCUCUUCUAGUGCCCUCCCAGACCAUCCCAGUCUCCAUGCUUUCUCUGUGCCUUCCAGUGUGUCCAUUUCCCUGGUGCCCCCGAGCUCCCAGCUCAGCCCUGGCAGCCUGUUCUGCUGUGUGCUGGAUUUCUCCCCUGCCCAGGUGCAGGUGAGGUGGUUCCAGGGCACGCAGCUCACAGUGACACUUGGUGGCUACCAACAUGGUCCCCUAUGGGGACUGGACCCAGCAGCUCCUGGUGCUGCUGGAAACCUGUCUGUCCUAGCUUAACAAUGUAAGAUGUGCCCCAAGUAUGUAUUCUAUCACCAUCUACAUGAGCUGUUGAAACUAGGUUGGGCAGUGUUUCUCUUGCUGCUUCUCUCCAAACUAUCUUCUGUUAAUGGCCCAUCAAUGCCCUGCUGCAUGACUCAUAGGUAACUCCCUCCAGGAGCUGUCUCUGUUUAAUGGGCAAUCAAGGACCCAUUGCAAGACUUAUAGAAUGAUAUCAGCCCACUGUUAGAUGCUCCACCCAGGGGGAGGAGCCAGGCAUUCCCACCUGGAUAUAAUCUGGGAUUUGGGACAGCACAGGCAGCCUCACCCACUGGAUUCCCAGGGAACAAGAGCUACCAGACCUUUCUAUGGGAUCCCUGCUUCAACAAGACCACUUCAUCUGGACUGCUGCCACCACAGUGUCAGGUUGUAUUCUGACUCUGUCAGUGAUAUUUUUGUACUAUUGCAUUUGUUUCGUUUUUCUUGGAUUUUUUUGUUGGUUUUUUUUUGUUUUUUUUUUUUUUUUUGUCCUAUUAAAUUGUUUUUCUGACUUGGAGUCUCUCGCUGGUCUUGCUUUCAUUCUAGCAAGCUGUCUCGGGUUGCAAUAUGUAACCAAAAGUGUGUAUUCAAUUUGCUACCUGUUGAAACCAGUUGGGGAGGUGUUUUUCUUUAUGUCUCAUACAACCCACUCCUCAUAACUCUGUGGGGGAGGGACAUGUGCCUUCUGUUAAUGAGCAAGCUGUUAAAACCACAGUGUUCUUUAUCUCUUCCAUGACCCAUCCUCCCUCCAGGGAGAUAUCUUCUGUUAAUGGACCAUCAAGUCUCACUGCAUGACUGAUAAAAUUACAUCAUCCCAUUGUGAGAUGCUCCACCCAGCAGGAGGAGCCAAGCAUUCCUACCUGGAUAUAAUCUGAGAUUUGGAACACCACAACGGCCUUUUUCCACUGGAUUCUCAGGGGAGGACAAGACCCUUCUAUGCCACCACUGGACCUUCAGAGGAAGACUACAUCCUACAGAAUCUUGCUUCAACAGAACCACAUCUGUCACUCCAGGAAAACUUGACUGGACUGCUACCAACACCCUGACCAACAGGGUAUCAGAACAUAUUCUGACUCUGUCAGUGUUUUCUUUUUUGUUGUUUGUUUUUUUGUACUACUACUUUUUUUUUUUUUAAUAUUCUUAAUAAAGAACUGUUAUUCCUAUUCCCAUA